rnacentral:rRNA from 1 species
GAGUUUGAUCAUGGCUCAGGAUGAACGCUAGCGGCAGGCUUAACACAUGCAAGUCGAGGGGCAGCGCAGGUAGCAGUACUGGGCGGCGACCGGCAAACGGGUGCGGAACACGUACGCAAUCUACCUUUAUCUGGGGUAUAGCCCGGAGAAAUCCGGAUUAACCCCCCAUAAUAUAUAGGAGUGGCAUCACUCAAAUAUUAAAACUCAGGUGGAUAAAGAUGAGCGUGCGUCCCAUUAGCUAGUUGGUAGGGUAACGGCCUACCAAGGCGACGAUGGGUAGCUGGUGUGAGAGCACGACCAGCCACACGGGCACUGAGACACGGGCCCGACUCCUACGGGAGGCAGCAGUGAGGAAUAUUGGUCAAUGGACGCAAGUCUGAACCAGCCAUGCCGCGUGAAGGAUGAAGGCCUUCUGGGUUGUAAACUUCUUUUAUUGGGGAAGAAACUAUGGCUUCUACUAUAGCCGACGGUACCCAAGGAAUAAGCACCGGCUAACUCCGUGCCAGCCGCCGCUGU